UGUGUGUGUAUAUAUAUAUAUGUGUGUGUGUAUAUAUAUAUAUAUAUAUAUAUAUACACAUACACACACAUAUACAUAUACACACACACACAUAUAUGUGUGUGUGUGUGUAUGUA
rnacentral:miRNA from 1 species